ACAAUAGUGCUCCAUACGUUGAACAGGUGCUCUGUACGCUCUAUAUUGGGGCAAUGGAAAAGAGCCUCGUAGACGAGCGGUUGGACAUCAGCACAAAAUUGUAGCAAUAAUGCUCUCUUGAAAUGCUUUAACAAGGAGACAACACCCAGCCCGAAUGAGACUUUUUCUCUCUGCGAUUUUGGCUUGUCUGAUGAUCUGUACAAUAGCCGGCGACGGACUACGCGAAAGAUGCCUGUUCAAACCAGAUAAAACACACUGCGCCGGGCACCAUUUCCCUCGGAUGUGGUUUUAUCGUCCUGAUACAGAUACCUGCGUACCAAUCAGUUUGCCAGCGUGUUGGAGCAAAGGUGGCGUAUUUCGGAAAUGCAGGCGCUGCAUGAAGGUGUGCAUGAGACAUAAAAGGAGCGCAGGAUGGAGAAGACGAUUAAGGCUAUUCUGUCGUACAGGUUCCAAUGGUCAUUGGGAUGAACACAUUCUGAACUGACAUUCCUUAGGAACACGAAUAUUUCAAAUUGACAUGGUGCUUAUAAAUUGGAGCAUCAUUUGCCCAUUACCGUUGUAUUUAUUUUCAAGGCUUUCGAAAACUUCACCUACACCAGUGUGAAAGGCUAGGAAAGCGCAAAAAAAGAGA